AUGGCGAGACGUCGGACAAGAGCCGCAACCUCAGGGGUUGAGCUCCAUGGCAAGGAGACGCUGGAGAUCGUCUGCACCAGCGAACCAGACAAGGCCGACAAGAUGAUGAGCAGGCUCAGGAUGAAGGGCGGCGGCUUGUAUCCGAGCUUCAUCGGAGUUGAUGUGGAGUACACCAGCAAAGAUGAACCUCCACAAAUGGCAGCAGUCCUGCAGUUGUGCGUCGACGAACUCUGCUUGGUGUACGACAUCGCAGCGGCCACAAAAUGGCCCAAGCGCCUCAAACAGUUCCUGCAGGAGGAGAAAUUGUACACAUUUGUCGGUUUCAGCAUUGGAGGUGACAAGCGGAUGCUGAACAAGUCUGGUUUGGAGAUCAACCCCAACAACUUCAUCGACAUGCAGCGCAAGUGGAAAGAUCCAACCACCAACAAAUACUAUGACUCCUUGGCCGAUGUUGCAGGCGGCGUCAUCCACCCAUUCUACAAAGGCAUGAAGAAGAAGAUGGAGAAGAAGGAAGACCACAAACUGUGGGGGAACAGCCCGCUGCCAGACAACCUCAUUGAGUACGCAUGA
rnacentral:rRNA from 1 species